AUGGCCGACUCCCUCGAGCCCGGUGCAGCUCAUCUUCGAGCUGCUGCUGCGCGCGAGGCACCGCGGUGUCGGUGAUCCGAGCUGAGCCGGACGGACCCGGGUCCAGACGAGGCCGCGCCGCGGUAAAACUGCGACACAUGAACACACCGGUAGAGCGGACAUGGCGCUCACGAGAGGCCGCGGUGAACCGAGGAGAGCGCGGAAUGAUACGACAGUGUGCGGGAAACAACGCAGACACCGGCCGCAGCGUCGUAAAACUCCGGGAGAACAGGAGUUUGUGGGGCUCACUAGAGUCAGUGGUUAUCAGAGGUGAAGUUGUCAGUGCAGUCGGCCUACACCAGAUGGUGGACUGAAGAGAGAAGACCAGGUCCAGGUCUUAUCUCACCAUGAGCUGAGCUGGCUCAUCAACACGGAUAUAAAAGUCCACUGUGCACUGGAGUAAAGUAAAGGUGUCACCAGACCAGGUAGACACUGGAGACUGAGGACCUCACCUCUGUAGCUGCCUGCAUUCUUCACUAGAAGCCUCCUGCACACUGGACUGGUCUCCUGGUUUAUACUGAGCACUGAUCAGUUACGAUCAGGUCACAUUUCAGCUCUGUGUCUGAGCUCAACUCACUUCUUCACUGCAUCCACUGCACUUCACAGAUGUUUCAUGAGGUGAACACAGGACUACAGAUCUAGAAGGAGCCUAAAGGACUUGAGUGCAGCUCACACAGAGCUGAAGGAUCCUCAUGUCUCUUCUCU